GCUACACCGCUACAAUCUACGCUGUUUUACUGUAUUGAGUUGCACGACAUGUAUAUAUGGAAAAACGUGGACGUCAAGUAUAUUUCGUGAUCGGAUAUCAUGAGCACAUAACCAGAUUUCAUUUCAAAUACAGAUAGCUAUCUCCAGCUAUGAGUACGAGUUCACUAGUUCUUGUCUUUAAGASAGURCAAUUUCUCAGACCAUUCAUGAAAUCAAAUAUGAACGUAUCCUAACUUGUUUUUGUUUCAUUAACGUUGCUAACAGGUAUACACUGAGGCAGGACACUUACUUGCUCAAGAAUCAUGCUCAGCUCCUUCCRGAACUAUCCACAAUCUACGAACACGACAAAUCAGACAAAUGCUAAGAAUACAAGAAUGGCUGAUUACAAGAUCACGAAGGACAACUUUUCACAUCCCUGACAGUGUGGACUAAACCUAACCAAAAACAUUCUGCAACUUUUAAUAUAUAUAUUUAUAUGUAUGUCUUCUGCUCUUGAUAGAUUAAACAAUAGGGAAACAAAAAGACAUAUAUAUAUAUUGAAAGUUGCAGAAUAUUUUUGGUUAGGUGUAUAUAUAUUUAUUGGAAUAUGAGCAAAAAAGAUCAUAAUUUUUGCAUAUUGCUGUUAACCAUAUGUGAAGUGACAUCACUGUUGUUAUGGUGCUGAUACUUUUUCUGACCAAUCAGAUCAAUAUGUUUAUAUUAGUUCGAUAGAUCGAUAUGUAUAUAAAACAUAUAUAGAACACGCGAACGAGUGAGAUAUCGAUGUAACACGAGAAGAUAAAAUCAGUAUUUCCAAGCGACCAUGUAAUAUCCUUUAUAAAAUUUUUGAUAUAUAACGCGCUCUGAUUGGCUGACGACCGUGUUUCAUUUUAUAGAUAUGAUAAUUAGGCUAACWUUAUUWCAUAUAUUAGCAUCCAUUUAAUGGGUCAGCAACAGUGUUUAUCAACAAUGCGUACAUUGUACUUGAAUGCGUUACCAUGUUUACAGUUUUUUUGGUCCAAAAGAAAACUAAAAGCCAGUCUCACAUGAAGUAUUACGCGACGCAAAGAUCCAACAGUUGUAUGACGUUUUUUUGGAAUGUAUYAACAAAUUCUGUAAUAUAGACUCGGGUAUACUUAAGGGUAUAUCGUUUUCUUUUAUCUUAAUUGAGAUAUUAUGCGCUAACAUUUAGUUGCUGUUUGUUGGAUUAGAAUCUGAUUAAACCCAACAGACAAAAUUGGACUAUAGUAAAAUAAAAACAAAAGAAAAAAA